UGAGAAAGAACUGGUAAAGUAAUGUUUCGCAAACUGGCCAUGGUUUAAGACUUGUUUGGCCAGUUAUUCGAAGCGGUAUAUUUUUAGGAACCUUUUUAGGAACUGCUUAAGAAUCUUUUUAUGAAUUUUCUUCCAGCGCAUAUUGAGAUAUGGAUAGAUGAGAUAUUUCUUUAUUUUACAUACACAACACUAGGCUUUUCUACUACGAAAUUUUACAAGUCAGUUUUACCAAUUACCAAUGACACCCUAUUGCAUUACAAUAACAAUUUCAGUCACAAAUCAAAAGCAACCAUACAACUAAGAUUGUAAAGUUAUAAAAUUUUAUAACGUACAAUCCUCAAUUUAUUAUUUGUCAAUUACUACUUAUUAUUAUUACGUACUAAAUUAUUGUUUUAGAGGAGAACUCGAAGGUACAUUCUUAGAAAUAUGCUUUAAGAAUUGGUGGAGAUAGCGACGGUUGGUUAAUAAAGUAAAAUCCAGUUCACUUAAGGCGACAUAGUUGUAUAAUAUUACUUUUUCUGAGGAGUCAUUUUUGUGUAUCACUUCGAGAUCUCACUCUGUUCGUCGAAAGGAAUACUCCGUGAUUCUCAUUUGAUUUAUUGCGACGACGGCCGACUUCGCUGUGACAAGAAACGCGGAACGGAAAUUGAAACGGAACGAUGACAGAGAGAACGACAGUCUUUGAAGAUGCACCAAUUAGGGGGCAAGUUUUCGAGUUUGUCCGCACGAAAUGCCAAGGACCGUUACUUAGUGGUGCAGCUCUUUUCAACGCAUUUCGCGUUGCGAUUUUUAAUUAGCUCCCGGUCGACACUAGAGAUUAAAGUACCGCGGCAUGCAUAUUCACUGUUGCGGUUAAGUCGUUGGUGUUUCGUCCGUUGGAAAAUACUGUGAUUCGCGCGGCACGGUGUUUUGAGGUUAUGAGUGGAAGAAAUAAUUUUUCUCAUGCGGAACGAGUGAAAAGUUCAAAGUUAAAAAAUUAAAUUACGAAGGAUUAAAGGAGAAAAUUCUGUUAAGUAACCAUAUUUCAUUUCUUUAUGGUUAUAUUCAGCUUGCAUGUGUAAUUAUUAAUAUAACUGAUAUGUAUCUGAUUUUGGGAUGGUGAAAAUGUUUUGUACAAUGAUUUGCAACUACAUUCGUGAACUGUAACCAACUAGUACACUACCGAGACUGUUUGCAUUUUUCUAAAAGUUGAUUCUUUAUUUUAUUUGUCUUUGCUCAUAAAUUUGUAGUAGAUACUACUAUGUUACGUUUAAUUCUUUUAUAUCAUUUUAUUUUUAGACUUAUCUUUCAGCUAGAAUUAACUGUUAUACUCCUUAGGCUAUUUACAUUUUUCUUGAAAUUAAUCCAUUGUUACUCAUUUCUAUUUAACCAUAAAUUCAUAAUAUAUAUUCAUAGUAAUCUCUAAUAACUACGUUAUUCUCAUAAUUUCCGUAAACUUCGUUUUAAAACAUAUAUAUGUCAAUAUAUACAAUAGUUCCUGAUUUUAGGUUAUCUUUGCUUGUCUUAAUCCUGAUGAAACUACCCUGGCAGGUUCGAAAAAUGUUCCAACGGUUGAACCACGUCGGUUGAAGACAAAUUCCGGGCGAGCUUUACGAAAAGAGGGAUCCUUAUCAGGGACCUGAUCACGACGAACCUCAUCCAAGUUGCCGAUCUUGUCUUUCGAGGACAAAUAGUCGAAACUCGAGCCGGUGCUACUGUCCAAGCCGCCACGGUGAUUUUUCCCCGAGGUGGAUCCUCUUAUCAGGGACCCGGCAGAGGCCCUCUUUUUUUCUUCAAUUUUUACCUCUACCAGCAGGGUUACCUAAUACUUCAAAGUGCCCUUACUUCUCUGCUAUUACUACUUUACAAGCCCUUUUUUAUCUUCUUUUUUAUUUGUUUUUAUAACAAAGAAUAAAUUAAAAGUAGGUUAGAAAUUCAAUAGAGAAUAAAUUAAAAAUUAGAAAUACAAUAAGGAAUACUUAGGGGGCCAAAAGAUGUAUACACAUUUCAACAAAAGAAAUUCCAUCAUUCAAUCCAAUCUCUGUUAACCCUUUGCAGUCGAGGACUUUUUCGGUCGGGCGUAGCUACUACUUUGGAUGAUUUAGCGUAUAUGUGACGCGUGUCCUCCAGCUAGCGUAAAAUUAAUUUUGUAAUAUUAAUUUUUAUAUUUUUUUUGUAUGAUAAUUUAUAAAGCAUUCACUAAGGUGCAUUCUUGAAUAUCAUUGAUCUUAUUUUUCAACAGUUCAAAAUAAAGUCCAUCUUUAUUUGAGUUAAUUUUACUUCCGAAAACCAGUUUUUAGGGUUUCUAAGCUAUAAUACUCUUGCCAUGACCGUCGAAUCCGAACUAACGUUGGAGACGUUGUCGGAACCAUAGUUUCGGAGAGAUAUGGGAUUAAAUAUUUUAUCUCUCUUUUAAAGUCUAACACUUUACACUUUCUAACAAAGAACAUAAAGAGCUAAGAAACCAAUUUACGAAAUAAUAUUGCACUUUCAACAAUUGGAGAUGUCGCCUCUCGCUCGCCACUGGAGUUGUAGCACGGAACGCCGUGUUGACUGAGAGUCGCCCCUCAAAUCCAAAGGGUUAAAAUGUGUAUGUAUUUUCUUGGCUCCUUCAUAAAUUAAAAAUUCGGAAUUUGAUUAAAAGUAAAAUAAAAUCUAUGUUCAAUAUUGGAAAUAGAUCAUAAAUAAAGUGACAGUUCAG